GCCUGGGUGGCUCAGUUGGUUAAGCGUCUGACUUCAGCUCAGGUCAUGAUCUCACAGUUCGUGAGUUCAAGCCCCGCAUCAGGCU
rnacentral:tRNA from 1 species